AGGCCCAGCGGCUGCGGGAACACCAGGAAGCUUUGCACCAGCAGAGGCUGCAGGGGCACUUAUUACGGCAGCAGGAACAGCAGCAGCAGCAGCAGCAGCAGCAGCAGCUGGCAAGAGAGAUGGCCCUGCAGAG
rnacentral:miRNA from 1 species